GCUUACGGCCACACCGCCUGGUUCAUGCCCGAUCUCGUUUGAUCUCGGAAGUUAAGAUAGGUUGGGCCUGGUUAGUGCUUGGAUGGGAGACCGCCUGGGAAUACCAGGUGCUGUAAGCU
ensembl:rRNA 5S_rRNA 5S ribosomal RNA